GUGCUUAUGUUGGCAGCACGCAUAUUAAAAUUAGAAUGAUAUACAGAUUAGCAUGGCUCCUGUGCAAGGAUGACAUGCAAACUCAUGAAGCAUUCCAUAUUUUU
rnacentral:snRNA from 1 species